UUAUCUUGCACGCGUUUCUGCAAUUUCCUCAAUAGAAAUUCCACUUUUAUAGUCUUAUCUGUCGUAUUAAUGUGUUAUUUAAGCAAUUAUAACAGUAUAAUUUAUAAAAAUCUCUGUUGAAAUGUGGCUUGAUAUCUUGCAUGCCAUUUAAGUUAGUUAAAAAUAAUGAUUUAGUUGGGUUAUGGAGGGUACAGACGAGUGCAGACGUUUAAGAGAUGGUAGCGAUGAUGAAGGAGAGAAUGUCCUUCCAGGAAAAAACAGGAUACAGAAUGACAACUUGCAAGAGUUGAAUGGGAUGGUAAACAUUGAGAAGGAGGAAUAUAAAAUAGAAAUGGAUGCCAUUUCGCCUAAAAAAUCAACGUUGAAGAGGCAGACUACUCGUAGGGAAUUCUUCCUACCGAUCCAUCAGGUUGUGAGAAAUGGGAAUGUGGAAGCUCUGAAGUGUUUUCUGAAUAAUAUGGAUGCUAAAUCCAUCAAGAAGCAGAUUAAUUCCUUGGACGAUAAGAAUAUGACUCCGUUGCAUUACGCUUCCCGUUAUAAUCAUUUGGCCAUUGUAAAGUUGUUGUUGGAAUAUGGAGCGGAAAUUAAUAGAAGAGGAGAAGAUGAUAUUUUACCGCUGCAUGUUGCUUCUAGAUAUCGUCGGCCAAGUAUGUCACCUGUUACAGAUGAAGUAGAUGCUUCUUACAGCUCUGUAAUUGGUCUAUUAAUUUCUAGAGGUGCUUCCGUUAAUUGUAAAGAUAGAUAUGGGCUGACGCCAUUACACUAUGCAGCUAUGAGAGGAAACGUAAUGGCUGCUAAAGAGCUCCUACAAAAUCCAACUAUAAACAUUCGGGUUACGGAUAAACAAGACAUGAUGCCGUUGCAUCUCGCUGCAAAUUAUGGAAAUUACAAAAUUGUGGAAUUAUUAAUUGAAGCUGGUUCUCCCAUAUUAGUCUACGAUGAACAGUUUCAGACUCCUCUCCACAAAGCUGCAGCAGAAGGUUACAGUGAUAUCGUAGAGCUACUGUUGAAAGUUGCCAAAGAAGAAAGUCUAGAUAUAAUGAAAGAAAUAAUUGCAGAAAAAGACGAAGAUGACAAUUCCGCUCUUCAUCUUGCGGUCGAAAAAGGACAUUUUAAUGUGACGAAAAUUCUGUUGGAACACGAUGCGGAUGUAAAUUCUUCCGGAGAAUUUCGCAUGUAUCCAUUACAUUUGGCUUCAACGAUAGGCAGCUUGGGUAUCGUGAAACUUUUAAUUGAGUAUAAUGCUCAAGUAAAUUGUUUAAAUUAUCAACAAGAGACACCACUGCAUAGGGCUGCAUCAUUCAAUCACAAAGAUAUCAUAGACUAUCUAAUUAAACAUGGUGCUUUGAUAGAAUGCCGCUGCAUAAAUCAUUUCACUCCUCUGUUACUUGCUGCCAAAGAAGGUCAUAUCGAUGCCAUAAAGAUAUUAUUAGAGAACAAUGCAGACGUUUCAGUUGUCGACAGAAACGAGAAAUCAGUUGUUUACUGGUUAUGCGAAAGGAACCAUCCCGAAGCAUUGAAAAUAUUAUUGGAAGAUAGUUUUGCACCAAAUUUAAUUUUCAAAGAAGAUGCUUAUGAAAAUAAUCCUCUGCAUGUUGCAGCAGAACAUGGAUAUGCCGACGUAUUAAAAAUUUUGUUAGAGCAUGGAGCUGAUAUUCACAGUAAAAAUGAAGAUGAGGAAACUGCAUUACAUCUUGCAGCUCAAUCAGGACAUAGAAAUGUCGUAAAGCUUUUGUUGGAGACGAACAAAUCUAUAGUAAAUGCCGAAGAUGAGGAAAAGAAUACUCCACUUCAUGUUGCUGCACUUAAAGGACAUCAGAAAGUAGUAAUAGAUUUGUUAUAUGCCGGUGCAAAUGUAGAAUCAAGAAAUUGUAAUUUGUGGACUGCUUUAGACUGUGCUGCUUAUGGUGGUUGGUUGAAAACGGCAAGAAUUCUUCUUAAAGCUGGUUCUCCCGUCGAUCCUUUAGACAAAUCCAAAACGACACCACUUCAUUUAGCCGCAUCCAAAGGGCAUGCAAAAGUCGUGGAAAUGCUUUUAGAAUUUAAUGCUAAAAUCGGUCAAGUCGAUGCAGAAAAUAAUAAUUGUCUAGAUUUGGCAAUUAGAUCGAAUCAGAGGGAAGUUGUUUUAGUUAUAAUUAAUAAUAAAAACUGGAAAGAUGCUUUACGAAACUUUACUACCAGUAGUAAAUAUGGUAUUCAUCAAACUCCAUUGAGAAAACUUAUUAGACAUAUGCCGGAUGUUGCGGAACAAGUGUUUGAUAAAUUUAUAACAGAUAACGGAUAUAAUAGUGAACACCCAAAACUGAAAAAAUACUAUAAUUACGAGUUUCUGGACGAUAUGUUUGUUACUUCAUUCAGUUUUGAAAGUCGAGGAAGUAGAGAAAGUCUUUUUGAUUCAUUAUUUAUGAUGAACAUAAUAAAAUAAAAACAACAAGUCUGCUGUACACUGAGGAUAAAGAAAUUUUAAAACAAAACCAUCCUCUGAUGUUGAUGGUUACUCUACAAAAACAACAAUUAUUGGGACAUCCAAUAUGUACAAGUCUACUGAAUUACAAGUGGAAGAUCUAUGGAAGAUAUGUGUACUACACAAAUCUCCUAUUAUACAUUUUAUUUUUAAUAUUUUUCACUGG
rnacentral:misc_RNA from 1 species